CAUGCAAGUCGAGCGGAAAGGCCCUUCGGGGUACUCGAGCGGCGAACGGGUGAGUAACACGUGAGCAACCUGCCCCAGGCUUUGGGAUAACCCCGGGAAACCGGGGCUAAUACCGAAUAUGACCUCUGACCGCAUGGUUGGUGGUGGAAAGUUUUUCGGCUUGGGAUGGGCUCGCGGCCUAUCAGCUUGUUGGUGGGGUGAUGGCCUACCAAGGCGACGACGGGUAGCCGGCCUGAGAGGGCGACCGGCCACACUGGGACUGAGACACGGCCCAGACUCCUACGGGAGGCAGCAGUGGGGAAUAUUGCACAAUGGGCGGAAGCCUGAUGCAGCGACGCCGCGUGAGGGAUGACGGCCUUCGGGUUGUAAACCUCUUUCAGCAGGGACGAAGCGUAAGUGACGGUACCUGCAGAAGAAGCGCCGGCCAACUACGUGCCAGCAGCC
rnacentral:rRNA from 1 species